rnacentral:tRNA from 1 species
GUCUUAUUAUUCAGUUUUUUGCAUUGAUGUGUUUGGGCCACCUUGCUCAGUGUUUGGCA